GGUUAAGCGACUAAGCGUACACGGUGGAUGCCCUGGCAGUCAGAGGCGAUGAAGGACGUGCUAAUCUGCGAUAAGCGUCGGUAAGGUGAUAUGAACCGUUAUAACCGGCGAUUUCCGAAUGGGGAAACCCAGUGUGUUUCGACACACUAUCAUUAACUGAAUCCAUAGGUUAAUGAGGCGAACCGGGGGAACUGAAACAUCUAAGUACCCCGAGGAAAAGAAAUCAACCGAGAUUCCCCCAGUAGCGGCGAGCGAACGGGGAGCAGCCCAGAGCCUGAAUCAGUGUGUGUGUUAGUGGAAGCGUCUGGAAAGGCGCGCGAUACAGGGUGACAGCCCCGUACACAAAAAUGCACAUACUGUGAGCUCGAUGAGUAGGGCGGGACACGUGGUAUCCUGUCUGAAUAUGGGGGGACCAUCCUCCAAGGCUAAAUACUCCUGACUGACCGAUAGUGAACCAGUACCGUGAGGGAAAGGCGAAAAGAACCCCGGCGAGGGGAGUGAAAAAGAACCUGAAACCGUGUACGUACAAGCAGUGGGAGCACGCUUCGGCGUGUGACUGCGUACCUUUUGUAUAAUGGGUCAGCGACUUAUAUUCUGUAGCAAGGUUAACCGAAUAGGGGAGCCGAAGGGAAACCGAGUCUUAACUGGGCGUUAAGUUGCAGGGUAUAGACCCGAAACCCGGUGAUCUAGCCAUGGGCAGGUUGAAGGUUGGGUAACACUAACUGGAGGACCGAACCGACUAAUGUUGAAAAAUUAGCGGAUGACUUGUGGCUGGGGGUGAAAGGCCAAUCAAACCGGGAGAUAGCUGGUUCUCCCCGAAAGCUAUUUAGGUAGCGCCUCGUGAAUUCAUCUCCGGGGGUAGAGCACUGUUUCGGCAAGGGGGUCAUCCCGACUUACCAACCCGAUGCAAACUGCGAAUACCGGAGAAUGUUAUCACGGGAGACACACGGCGGGUGCUAACGUCCGUCGUGAAGAGGGAAACAACCCAGACCGCCAGCUAAGGUCCCAAAGUCAUGGUUAAGUGGGAAACGAUGUGGGAAGGCCCAGACAGCCAGGAUGUUGGCUUAGAAGCAGCCAUCAUUUAAAGAAAGCGUAAUAGCUCACUGGUCGAGUCGGCCUGCGCGGAAGAUGUAACGGGGCUAAACCAUGCACCGAAGCUGCGGCAGCGACACUAUGUGUUGUUGGGUAGGGGAGCGUUCUGUAAGCCUGUGAAGGUGUACUGUGAGGUAUGCUGGAGGUAUCAGAAGUGCGAAUGCUGACAUAAGUAACGAUAAAGCGGGUGAAAAGCCCGCUCGCCGGAAGACCAAGGGUUCCUGUCCAACGUUAAUCGGGGCAGGGUGAGUCGACCCCUAAGGCGAGGCCGAAAGGCGUAGUCGAUGGGAAACAGGUUAAUAUUCCUGUACUUGGUGUUACUGCGAAGGGGGGACGGAGAAGGCUAUGUUGGCCGGGCGACGGUUGUCCCGGUUUAAGCGUGUAGGCUGGUUUUCCAGGCAAAUCCGGAAAAUCAAGGCUGAGGCGUGAUGACGAGGCACUACGGUGCUGAAGCAACAAAUGCCCUGCUUCCAGGAAAAGCCUCUAAGCAUCAGGUAACAUCAAAUCGUACCCCAAACCGACACAGGUGGUCAGGUAGAGAAUACCAAGGCGCUUGAGAGAACUCGGGUGAAGGAACUAGGCAAAAUGGUGCCGUAACUUCGGGAGAAGGCACGCUGAUAUGUAGGUGAAGUCCCUCGCGGAUGGAGCUGAAAUCAGUCGAAGAUACCAGCUGGCUGCAACUGUUUAUUAAAAACACAGCACUGUGCAAACACGAAAGUGGACGUAUACGGUGUGACGCCUGCCCGGUGCCGGAAGGUUAAUUGAUGGGGUCAGCGCAAGCGAAGCUCUUGAUCGAAGCCCCGGUAAACGGCGGCCGUAACUAUAACGGUCCUAAGGUAGCGAAAUUCCUUGUCGGGUAAGUUCCGACCUGCACGAAUGGCGUAAUGAUGGCCAGGCUGUCUCCACCCGAGACUCAGUGAAAUUGAACUCGCUGUGAAGAUGCAGUGUACCCGCGGCAAGACGGAAAGACCCCGUGAACCUUUACUAUAGCUUGACACUGAACAUUGAGCCUUGAUGUGUAGGAUAGGUGGGAGGCUUUGAAGUGUGGACGCCAGUCUGCAUGGAGCCGACCUUGAAAUACCACCCUUUAAUGUUUGAUGUUCUAACGUUGACCCGUGAUCCGGGUUGCGGACAGUGUCUGGUGGGUAGUUUGACUGGGGCGGUCUCCUCCUAAAGAGUAACGGAGGAGCACGAAGGUUGGCUAAUCCUGGUCGGACAUCAGGAGGUUAGUGCAAUGGCAUAAGCCAGCUUGACUGCGAGCGUGACGGCGCGAGCAGGUGCGAAAGCAGGUCAUAGUGAUCCGGUGGUUCUGAAUGGAAGGGCCAUCGCUCAACGGAUAAAAGGUACUCCGGGGAUAACAGGCUGAUACCGCCCAAGAGUUCAUAUCGACGGCGGUGUUUGGCACCUCGAUGUCGGCUCAUCACAUCCUGGGGCUGAAGUAGGUCCCAAGGGUAUGGCUGUUCGCCAUUUAAAGUGGUACGCGAGCUGGGUUUAGAACGUCGUGAGACAGUUCGGUCCCUAUCUGCCGUGGGCGCUGGAGAACUGAGGGGGGCUGCUCCUAGUACGAGAGGACCGGAGUGGACGCAUCACUGGUGUUCGGGUUGUCAUGCCAAUGGCACUGCCCGGUAGCUAAAUGCGGAAGAGAUAAGUGCUGAAAGCAUCUAAGCACGAAACUUGCCCCGAGAUGAGUUCUCCCUGACCCUUUAAGGGUCCUGAAGGAACGUUGAAGACGACGACGUUGAUAGGCCGGGUGUGUAAGCGCAGCGAUGCGUUGAGCUAACCGGUACUAAUGAACCGUGAGGCUUAACCUU
rnacentral:rRNA from 1 species